CAGUGUUCUCUCUCUUUUUUUUUUUUUUUUUUUUUUUUGUGUUGAAUCUCAGAAACGGAAAUAGGUCUUUUGUUUAUUGAUCCAGAAAUGAGCAAUCUCGAGGGAUUUCUAUUCCCUCCUACUGAUGAUGAAAUCUUCUUUUUUCUGAAGGAGUAGAAGAGAUUUGACCGUAAUUUCUCUGUUCAAUUCAUAUCCAAUAUUUAUAUUUAAGAGUUUGAAGCGCCGAAUUUAUCAGGCGUUUCGCAACUCACUCGUUUUAUCUCGUUUGGUUCGAAUCUUAAGCAGAACCUCAACUACUAUACGUAGUACCUAUGAGUUGUUUUGGGACUAGUCUUAGUUGUUUUUCAUGGGUGAGAAAGAGUGCAUAUCUUUCAGUAGGGCGGGCCUGCUGGAAUUCAAAUUUAUUUUUCUACAAUUAUUUUUUAUAUUAUUUGUUGUUUUUUAUCUGUGAAUUUAUUGCGUAAUAGUUAUUAGAUCGAGUUUGAAAUUUAGGGUUUGACGAGUUGGAAUCACAGCUAGUACAGUGUGAUUGAAUUAUCAUGUUUAGAAUACCACUGCAAUGAAUCUGAACCUUUGGAUAGGCUAGAAAGGUUGUGAAAGUGAAAGUUUGACGACUUUGAGAAGCCAUUUUCAUGGAUCCGACCUAUGGUGGAAACUUGUGGGUGACGUCACCUGGUACUGUUGGUUUUCAUACGGCGGGGUUUGCUGCUCUACGUCAAGAGCUAGAAGUUGACUCAGAAGGAGCUCCAUCACGUGCUGCGGUUGAAUCUACUCAAACGGAUGGAAAUGGAAAUGAAUAUGUCGACUCAGAAGUGGCUUCACCUCUUGCUGCAGUUGAAUCUACUCAAACGGAUGGAAAUGGAGAAAAUGUUGACUCAGAAGUAGCACUACCACUUGCUGCUGUUAUCUAUUCAAACAGAUUCACUUGCUGGGGUUGAAACUAUUCAAACUGAUAAUAGUGGAAAUGAAGAUGUUGACUCCGAAGUAUACCACCACUUACUGAUCGAAAGAGGUCACAGGGCUCAAUGGAUGUUGUUGUCUUUAUUUAUAUGAUUGAUAUUUAUCCUUCUGUCCUAUAUUUAUUUAAUUUGUAAUUUAUUUGGCAUAGACUUUUCUGUUAAAUAAAUGCAUGAUACUUGAAGUUCAGGUGAUAUUAUAUUUAACUAAUUUGUUCUUGCCUUAUU